rnacentral:piRNA from 1 species
UGAGUAUUGAGGAAACCAGUGGAUGGUAGG